AGUGAACGCUGGCGGUAGGCCUAACACAUGCAAGUCGAACGGCAGCACAGUAAGAGCUUGCUCUUACGGGUGGCGAGUGGCGGACGGGUGAGGAAUACAUCGGAAUCUACUUUUUCGUGGGGGAUAACGUAGGGAAACUUACGCUAAUACCGCAUACGACCUACGGGUGAAAGCAUGGGAUCUUCGGACCUUGCGCGAUUGAAUGAGCCGAUGUCGGAUUUGCUAGUUGGCGGGGUAAAGGCCCACCCAGGCGGCGAUCCGUAGCCGGUCUGAGAGGAUGAUCAGCCACACUGGAACUGAGACACGGUCCAGACUCCUACGGGAGGCAGCAGUGGGGAAUAUUGGACAAUGGGCGCAAGCCUGAUCCAGCCAUACCGCGUGGGUGAAGAAGGCCUUCGGGUUGUAAAGCCCUUUUGUUGGGAAAGAAAAGCAGCAGGUUAAUACCCCGCUGUUCUGACGGUACCCAAAGAAUAAGCACCGGCUAACUUCGUG
rnacentral:rRNA from 1 species